CAUUAUCAAGAUACCAAAGAUUUGAUGUGGUUUUAAAGCAUACCUACAAAACAAAAUUACGUUUUGUUAGGUACCCAAAUUGAUUUGGGUCCUUCAUAAUUAGUGUCUUUCUUUACCCAUACGUAAUGCCCACUUUCUACGCUAAAAUUUCUAACAUAGCAUGCAUUAGGUGUAUGGCCAAUUAUUCCGCAAUAAAAACAAGUAGGUUCAAAAUUGCUUCUAUAUCUAGGAACAUAAGAUUUAUUUUUAGAGAAUCUUUUUCUUUUAGGAUAGUGAUGAACAUUUGUUGCCUUGUUCACUUUCUCUUUAGUUGGUUGGUCAUUAGCUUUAACAAAGAUAGUUUUACUUGAACUUGGUUUGGAAAACUUUGAAUAACCAAGUCCACUUUUGUCAUUGGAAUAUCUUUGUUGGCUAAGGACACCUUCCAACCCAAAUUGUCCUUUUUCAUACCUUUCAAGAACUCUUUUUAAUUGGAUAAUUUGGAAAUAAAGUGAUUCAUAAUUUUUACAUACAAAAUUCUGUUUUUCACUAAUCAUCUUUUGUUUUUCAUCAUCGAAAUCUUUUUCAAUUGUCACGACUUUUUCUUCUAGAGAUGAAAUUAUUUUCUUUUGAGAUGAUAUAGUUUUAUAUAUAAUUUUGAAUUCUCUAAGAAGUUCAUUUAUAGCACCAUGUGCAUCACAAUCGAAAAGAGAAAAAUCAUUACUAACCUCAUCUUCUUCAUCGUCAGAAUGGUGUGAGGCCAUUAAUGCUAGAUUUGCACAUUUGUCGCUUUCCGAUUUGGAUGAAGAACUUAUCUCAUUAUCUUCCCAUGCAACAUAUGUAUUUUUAUUCUUGAAAUCCUUCUGGCCUUUAAAGCCACCUUUCUUUAAGAGUUUCGAACAAUCCGGCUUUAUAUGACCUUGCUUUCCACAUUCAUAACAUGUGACUUCUUGCAUAGAUAUGGAAGCCUCCAUUUUCCUGAAAUGUUUAUUUAUUUUUGCAUUAAAGGGUUUGUCAUUUUUACUAAAAAACUUACCAAGCCUUUUAACAAGGAGCGUGAAAUUUUUAUCUUCCACCGAUACGCCAUCAUUUCUAUCUUCCUUUGAAUCUACUUUUAAAGCAAUUCCUUUGGAUUUCUUCUCUUGACUUUCAUGCUUUUCGAGUCUUCCAAGUUCAAGUUCAUGUUCUUGGAGUUUUCUGAAUAAUGAUGCGGACGUCAUAGUGGAAAUACUUUUCUUCUCUGAUAUGGCCGUUACUUUUGGUUUCCAUUCUCUAGUCAAGGAUCUUAGCACUUUAAGGUUGAGAUCAUCAUUUGUAAAUGUUUUUCCGAGAGCAAUUAAAUGGUUCGUCAAGUGGACAAAUAUUUUUUGUAAUGCAACAAUGGAUUCUCCGGGCUGCAUUCUGAACAUUUCAUAUUCUUGACUCAAUGUGUUUAAUCUGGAUCUUUUAACUUCAGCGGUUCCUUCAUGAGUCUCCACCAAAGUGUCCCAAAUUUCUUUUGCUGAUUUACAUUGAGAUAUGCGGAAGAACUCAUCCAUACUUAAUUCACUUUGAAGAAUAUUUAUCGCUUUCUUUUCAUUAAGUAUUCUUUUCUUAUCGUCUUCAUCAUAUGAACUUUUAACCUUCGGAGUGCCAACACCAUUGACCACACUCAUAGGAUUAUGCAGACCAUUUUCAACGGUUUCCCAUAUACCAUCUCCUUGUGCUUCUAAGUGUGCUUUCAUACGGAUUUUCCAAAAGUCAAAAUAUUCUCCAGAAAAUAGAGGUGGUUUGUUGCUACUACCUCCAUCUUUAAAAACCGGAUUUACGCUUGCAGAAGCCAUUGUCUAGAUCUGUGGAGCAAGUUACCAAAACCUGCUCUGAUGCCAAUUGUUAGUUGAGUAGCGCCUAAGAGGGGGGAUGGGUAAAUUAGGAUCUUUGAAACUUUUUCCGAUUUAUGAAAAACUUUGUUUUUUCUUUUUUGGUUAUGUUAAGCGAUGAACGUUAAAGUGCAGAAAGGUAAAGAACACGAAGAGAUAUCCUGGUUCCCCUCACAGAUCGAGAGUACUCCAGUCCCCUUUCAACAUAAAAGAGAUUUCACUAUCUGUUAUGACUUGUACAAGACAGACAUAAUCACCAAGAACAACCUCUUAUGAUUCACCAAGUUGAUAUGAGAACAAUCCUCUCAAACUCAACUCUCUGGCUUCCAACAAUCCUGGACAGCAAGAUUUUUGAAUGUAAAGUUUGUAGAAUAAUGAUCACACUAAGUGAUAUAUCAAUUUACUUGAUCUUCUCUUCCAAUGACAAUAAUUCACAAACACAAAGAUGUUAGAUUGCUCAAGUAUUUUCUUGUUUGAAUGAUAUGAAAAUAUGCAGAAAAUAUCUUGAAUGAAGGUUACACAAAGAUGUUAGAUUGCUCAAGUAUUUUCUUGUUUGAAUGAUAUGAAAAUAUGCAGAAAAUAUCUUGAAUGAAGGUUUGUAACAAUAAGUGUGAAUUCUGAAAAUUCUAAGAGAUUGAUUGGAAGUGGUGAAGUUUGACUUUGAAAAAUCAUGAAUUUAUAUGUGCAUAACACAUCAAAUGAAACAUGGUAAUAUUCUGAAAGAAUCAUGAACAAUUGUCAAAUAUGAAUUGAAAGGAUUCCAUGAAGUGGCGCAUGAAGAGGUUUUUGAAAAGCCACUGAUUUUUCAGAAAUGCACAGUGGUAAAUCUAUUUCCCUGUUGCAACAUUUAAAAUUUUUCAAAAACUUUCAGUGGUAAGUCGAUUUCCCAAAGAGGUAAAUUGAUUUACCUAGUUCAAAAACUUAAAAUUUUGCUUCUGGAAAAGUAAUGCUCCAGUGGUAAAUCGAUUUCCCUAAGUGGUAAAUCGAAAUACCUAAGUGAAAUAAUUAAUCUUUGCAUUUAAAAAAUAUGUAAGCUUCAGUGGUAAAUCGAUUUCCCUUAUAGGUAAAUCGAUUUACCCAGUUUGAAAAUGAGAAAUUUGAUUCUAAGACAUUUUCCAUGCAUUAUGAAAAGUUAUGCAAUAAACGUAUGAAUACUUAAGCAUCUAAGACUUUAGUGAAGGUAAGUAUUCUCAUUAUACCUUCUUGAAAUGAAAAGCUUAACUUCUUGAAUCAAGAUGCUUUAUCAUUGAGUAAAAUCUUUGACUUCUUGGUGCUUGGAGUUUUGUCUUCAUCAAAAUACAUUCAUCAUAGAGAAGUUUGACUUCACAGGUAACAUCAACACAAAGGAGGUUGGAGAUCAAUACGGACGAGGAUUGAAAAAAAAGUGAGAUCAACACACACGAGUGUUGGAGAUCAAUACGAACGAGUAUUGAAAAAGGUGAUAUUAACACGGACGAGUGUUAGAAAUCAAUUCGGACGAGUAUUGAAAAAGGGUGAUAUCGACACAAAUGGGUGUUGGAGAUCAAUACAGACGACUAUUGAAAAAAGGUGACAUAAACACGGAGAGUGUUGGAGAUCAAUAUAGACAAGUAUUGAAAAAUGGUGACAUCAAUACGGACAAAUGUUGGAGAUCAAUACAGACAAGUAUUGAAAAAAUAUAUGAGAUCAACAUGUACAAGUAUUAGAGAUCAAUACAGACUAGUAUUGAAAAAGGUGAUAUCAACAUGGACGAGUGUUAGAAAUAAAUAUGGACGAGUAUUAAAAAAGGGUGAAAUCAACACGAAUGAGUGUUGGAGAUCAAUACAAACGAGUAUCAAAAAAAGGGAUGACACAGACGAGGAUUGGAAAUCGAUGCAGACGGGUAUUGAAAAAGGGAUCAACAUGGACGAUUGUUUAAAAUCGAUACAGACGAGUAUUGAAAAAAAAGGGUCAAUACGGACGAGUAUUGAAAAAAAGAGAUAUCAACAGGGACGAGUGUUGAGAAUCAAUACAAACGAGUAUUGAAAAUGGAUAUUAACACGCGCGAGUGUUGAGAAUCAAUACAGGCGAGUAUUGAAAAAAGGGUCAAUAUGGACGAGUGUGGGAGAUCAAUACGGACGAGUAUUGAAAAAAGGGAUCAACAUGGACGAGUGUUAGAAAUCAAUACAGAUGGGCAUUAAAUAAAGCGAUCAACAUGGACGAGUGUUGGGAUCAAUACAGACGAGAAUUGAAAAAGGUGAUGUCGUACGCCAAAUUUUGCCAUCCCUUCCGAUGAUUUCUAGUGCCAUAUUAUUUUGAAUAAAAAAUGUGGUACAAUUGGUUGAAAAGCAUGAGUUCGAAUCCCACCUUUUUCACUUUUAGUGUUUUUUUCUCUUUUAUUUGUUCUAACUUUCUAUUUAUUUUCAAAUCACAAAACUAUUAUUUUUUAUCAUUUUUUUAUUUAUUUUUUAUUUUUUCUUAAUGCAUUUUUUAAAAUACGAUUUUUUUAUUAAAAUCAUGAUUUUAUGCAUAAAAUAGUCCCAAAAAAUCAUAAAAUAAAAUAAAAACCAAUAAAAAACUUUUUUUUCUUAUUAUUACUAUUAGAUUAUUUUCAUUAUUUAAAAUAAAAUUUUAUUUAAAAUUCAUAAAGCCAUGAAUUCAUCCAGAUUCAUUGACUUGACCUUUAAGCAAUAGAUAAAAUCAGGUUAAAUGAAAUCAUUUCUAAUCGAUCACAUUCAAUUUUUUAACCUAAUUUUUAUCUAUAAAUAGCACAUGUUUUCUAUAAUUUUUCUCAUCCACAAUCUACAAAAUUUAAUCUAAAAAAUUGUUGCUCUUCAAACUGAAGAACAACAACACUAAAACCCUAAAGCCUCUUUCAUCAUCAACAUUGAUUUUUUUAAAAAGGCGAGCAAAGAAGAGGAAUUACGGGAAACAUGAAGAAGAAGAUCUAAAAAAAGGGAAAUUGUGCCUCUUUUUUAACCAGGGAAAGUCUCCUCCCUAUAGGUUGAUCUCCACUUAUGUUUAUCUCUUAGCAUAAAAAAAUUUAUAUUAAUAUAUCGUAUGCUGCUUAUGUAUAAGUUUUGUUUGAUGAUGUAUUUUGUACUAAGUAAAUUUUUAAAUAACAAAAAAAAAUCAUAUAGACUUUUUUUACUAAGAACAUAUAGCAAAUCUUUUUUUCAAUUUCUAAAAGAACUCUAUUAACUAAUUCCAGGAAGUAAAUUUCUAAAGCAGAAAAAAAUGUAAAUCAAUCUUUAUGAAAAAUCAACUUUUUUUAACCUGAAUUAAUCUUAUAUAAACAAAACAUCAUAGCAUAUUCCGUGUCAAAUCCAGCAAAAAUCACAGCACCUGGUUUGGGAGAAUUAAAAUAUUAAAAAAUCAUUUAUUACAUUAUUGUAUUAAUGCAUAUCCCGUCAUAUAUAUAAUCGAUAAUAUGCCGUAUAAGAAAAGAAAAUUGUCAUUCAUAUGCCUUUGUUCUUUGUUUAUUCAUCUAAAAUACAAGUUGUGAUAUUUGUUUGAUCUUGAAAAUGUGAAGCUUGUAUUGUCAUCGGAUAUUAUAACGUGAGAUUACUUACUAGUGAGAUAAUUAUAAUUUGUCGGUCAUUGCUAUAUGAUGCUACUUGCUAGACAUUAAAAGAGAAAAUUUCACUUUAAUUAGAUUUUUAUGAACAAUAAGAAUUGUUGGAACAUCUCAUAUGCAUGUAUCGCCCCUUCUCCUUUUUUCUUUCUUUAAUAAAGGAUAAAAAAAUAUAACUGAUAAUGGGAUAUUAAUUAAUUUGGAAAAUUGAGGUUAAUAUAUGAGACAACUAUUGGAUAAUUUAGGGACAAAAUUAUGGGAUAAAAUUUAGGGUUUUAGGGAUGCAAAAUCAGGGAUAAGAGAUAUAUCAUUUAUCAUUUAAUAUUCAAGUAUAAUCACUAAUUUAUUUUCUUAAAAAAAUUAAAUAUUAUAUUUUUUUUGCAAAAACAAUUAAGAGAUAAAAUCAAAUUCAAUCAAUCUCAAACUGUAAGUCCUCUACCCUAGUGUAUUAUGACAUUUUCUUAAAAAUCAAUCAUUUCUCCGUCUCUCCGUCCCCGAUUUUCAACGAAUAAAAACAAUCAAUAAACAACUUUUUUCUACAAGAACUAUGGUACUCUGAUCCCUCGCCUAAUGCGGAGGUACGUAGGCAUAAAGUUGUGAACUCUAGCGAGUACUACAAUAAAAAAUCUUUUGUCGGUCUCCCGUCUGUUUUAAUAAAAUAUUUUCUCUAUAAGUAUAUUAAAUAGUUAACAAUUAAUCGAUAAUCAAGCAAACAUCUGUAAACCCACACUAAUCCUAGAGUUAGAGGAGGAUCCCAUUGAGUACAAUGGAGGCAAGGGGUUCCUAGUACCUUCCUCUUACUUAAUCGACUCCCAAACCUAGCCUCUCACCCUUAGUCUAUAGGUUUUAUCAUUAUUUUCUAGUUCUUUAGGAACGAAUAAAGGAUGGUGGCAACUCUGUCAUUUUUCCAUCCGUGAUAGGUGAUAUCAACAUGGACGAGUGUUGGGAAUCAAUACUGACGAGUAUUAAAAAAGGUUAUAUCAAUACGAAUGAGUGUUGGAAUCAAUAUGGACGAGUAUUAAAAAAAGGAUUAACAUGGAUGACUGUUAAGAAAAUAAAAGGUAUCGUCAACACGAAGGAGUGCUAGAAAGGUGCGAUCAACAUGAACAAGUGUUAAAAAUGUGUGGUCAAUAUAGACGAGUGUUAAAAAGAUGGUAAUCAACACAGACGAGUGUUGGAAAGAUAAAAUUAACACGAGCGAGUGUUUUAAGAACAACCAAGAUCAAUACAGACGAAUGUUGAAGGUACAUUUUUAAAUGAGGUGUUUCAAAGAAAAUUCUUUGGGAACAUCAGCUGGGAAAUUUGUGGGGAUGAUGUUCUCUUUGGAGAAAUACUAUUGUCUUAGUUAGGGAUUAGUUUAUGCUUUCGAGAAAGGCUUGGAUCUGGCUUAUGCUAAGUAUGCAUGUUUGAUUUUGUAUGGUGUAAUGCUUCAUCUUGAUGGAUGUGUUAAGAAUUUUAGUGAUGUAUUGUCAUGCAAUAAUGGAUUACUUAAUGCAAGAUAUCGAUGUAUGAUCAAACUUUUAUUUUGUACCGGCUAUACAAGGCCAAGAUUUCUCAAUUAAAAGGGAUGAGGGUUAUGAAUUUAAAGCACCAAUGACCACUGGGUUUACCAAUUGAAAUUAUGGUUUUAAGUUACUGGCAAAACAGGUUUUUAAGUAUGUCAAUGAUGAUUGGUCCUUGAAGGUGCCAAUAAAGAUUUGGAUUUGAAGGAUGCCAAGCAAGUUGGGCUUUGAUUCUUCUUGGAGGCGCCAAUAAAGAUUGAGCUUCGAAGGAUACCGAGCAGGUUAGGAUUUAAGAGAUGCCAAGCAAGUUGGGUUUUAUGGAGGGAAAAAAUUUAAUUUAGGAUUUUAAGGGUGCCAAUAAAGGCUUGGAUUUGUGGGAUGCCAAGCAAGUUGGGCUUUGACAAAUGUCAAGCGAGAUGGGGCUUUUGUGGGAUGCCAAGCAAGUUGGGCUUUGAGAGAGGCCAAGCGAGGUUGGGUUUUAUGGAGGGGGCGAAAUCAAAUUUGGGCUUUAUGGAGAGAGCCAAACAAAUUUUAGGCUUAAUGGAGAGGGAGAAAUAAAAUUUGGUCUUAAUAUAAAGGGCCAAGCAAAGUUGGGCUUUAUGGAAAGGGUCAAGCAAAGUUGGACUUUAUGGAGAAGGCCAAACAAAGUUGGGCUUUAAAGAUGCCAAGAAGGUUGGGCUUUUAGGGAGGUGCAAAUAAAGAUUGGGUUUAAAGAUGCCAAGCAGGUUGGGCUUUUAGGGAGGUGCCAAUAAAGAUUGGGCUUUAGCUCUCCUGGUUUGUGUUACAAGACUUCAUGUUAUGUCAGAUGAAUGAUAUGCAUGAGUGAAGUGACAUGAUUAAUGCAUGAUGAUGAUUUAUAUUAUGAUUUUUAAGGUUCAACAAGCACCCAUAUGUGGGUCAUGUAUGGUUGAAGUUGGGAAGUUUCUUCCUUUGCUACAAGAGUUCUUGUUGAAAAGGUAUGGGAUGUGCUUAACAUGACUUUCUGACAUUCGUCUUGAAUUUGGUGGUUACUUAUGCUUGGAAGAACUUGCUUGAGAAUCUUUGAAAGUAUAGAGAAUAAUUCCCCCUAUAUAGCCAGUCUUGCCCCAGUCUGUCGUGUAUCUGCAUGGGUUUCCCCAAUCACAAGUCGUGAAGCAGUCUUGUCAUAGAACGAUCUUGGUCUAACUUACCCCAGUGUCUUGGAAUUGUAUGCCCCUAAUUAACCGUCUCUUGGAGCGAUUGACUUCUUGUGAUCUUGGGGUGGCCUGCCCUAGUACGAGCCUUGAAGUAAUUUUUCCCUUGGCUGGAUGAUCUUUAAGGGAACGCCCAUGGUUAACCAUAUCUUGGAGAGAUUUGUCGAAUCUCGACAUGAUUUCCUCAGAUUGACUCAAUCUUGAAGCGGCUUGCCCUUUUUCUCAACGGAGUUUUCAGGCGUUUUACCCCUCUGUGUGAUCCAUCUUCUCAUUGUGGAAACUUUCUUGAUGUCAAGUGCUUAUUUAUGAAUAAAAUUAUUCAUUUUAAAAAUGAUAAUUCUAAUGUUAUGCUUAUUUCAGUUUCAAAAUCCAAGUUUGUUCACUGAGAUGAUGGCAUAUAGUGAAUGAAUCACUAGUUAUAAUGCCAUAUCGGUACCAACACAAAUGAUAAGCAAAACCUUAGGAGUCAUUUCUAAUGUGAUCUCGCCGUAGUAUGCUUUUGAAAUAAACUCUGCUUCAACUAGGUCUUUUAAGGGUUGUAAUGCGACAUGGUUCAAGGUUUCAGAAAAAAAAAUGAUUUAGGGCUCAAAUUUAUUUGAACCCACUCAUUCUCCUUGAUGUUCUCUGGUCAUACGUUCAGCUAAUUCAACAUAAAUGUUCAUUUUUCAAAAGGAUUUUGGAUAGUAGAAAUGAUGGUUUUAAGGAACCAAUGAGAUUUUUGGAGUGGCAGUCACCCCGAUUUUGUUUUUUGUUUGUAGUCACACGAAUUUGUUCUUGCUGAGGAUUUUCUUUGGAUUCCUCUUUUGCUUCUUUGUUUUUUGCUUUCCCUAAUUUUUCCUGGACUGAUUUCUUGAGUUUGCAGUCCACCAGGGUGCCCUAAUUUUGCAUAUGUCACUCAUUUUCGAGUUUUCAACUUAGCGGGCUUUCUUUUUUCUAUUUUAUUUUUGGAUUUUGAUUUUGUUUUCAUUUUGCUGCAACAAAUCGUGUGACAUUUGUUCAUUUGAUUUAUGGAAGGGGUUGAGACUGCCUCAUUCCUUUUCUUGGUGAGGGACAACAAUUGUGGAUUUUUUUAUUUUCGACCUCGCGUGAGGGAUAAGAAGUGGUAGAUCCUCAUAUGUGAUACUCCUCUUUUUCCCUUGUAACGCAUGGUCAAAUUAACUGAAGACUAUCCUGUCCCUGGUUAAGAUUAAGGGUUUUUUCUAUAUAGAAAAGAAACUCCUACUCCUUGGCUCAAAGGGGUUGACUAGGGAUUAUCUUCGUUAUGUCUUUGGUGUUUAGGAGUUGAAACAAUGCCUUACAUCGUUAGCAAGGUUUUAUUCACAAACAUACAACCAGUAUUUUUGUGUAUUUCAAUUUCAUCAUUCUCCUUUUGAUUUUUGCUUAAACAAGAGUUUGGUACCAAUGAAUAAAAUAUGAGUGAACAUGAAUGGAUGGAUUUGAAACAUACACAUUCAUUUUAUUAUUACUACCAAUUGAAAAAAAAUAAGUUUUUACAAGCGAAUAACACUUAAAAAGCAAGAAAGGUUACAAGUGAAAAUGAUUGAACAAUCUAAUGAUCGUUGGCAUGAUUAGCCUUUGUAUCCACCUACAGGUUUGGGUCAUCAUGCUUAUAUAAGUUGACAUGAUAGUCCCCAAGGAGGUCCCCCUUAGGCUCUUCCAACAAAUACAACCUAUUUAGAUCUAACCUUGAUUCUGAUUGUGUUGGUUAUGGCAUUGUAGUUGUGCCUGCCUGUGAAGGCAUGGGCUUGUUCAAUAUGUUCGGGCCAUUUGGUGUGAAUGUGAUAACCUUUGAAUCGAUCAAGUAUUGUACUUUGUGCUUUAGGGCUCUGGAAUUAUCGAUUGUGUGCCUGAGUUCCCCUAAGUGGAACUCACAUCUAGCAUGCGUGUUGUAUCCCUGAGGAAGAGGUGCUGGAGGAGGCCCAAGUUCCCUUAAUUGAACCAAUGAGCUUCUGAUAAACUGAGAGACUAGUUAACUAUAAGGCAUAAGAACCAAGUUUAUCCUUCUUUUUGGUUUCAUUUGUCUUUAUUAUCCAUGUUGUUGAUAAUUUUGUUGUUGUGGAAUGUACAAUUGCGGGUAUUGAACUGGUUUUUGUAGAGCCAUCAUCCAGGGUCAUUGACCGACAGGGAUUGCAUAAGCUUGUUGCAGAUACUGAUUUGGGGCUAUCUCUUCUACUGGAUAGUAAGGCACUUGGUAGGCCCCAUUAUUUCCCUUAGCUAUCUCGACAACAUUGAUUUCUCCUUCCUUCUUCUUUGUAAAUUCGAAAUAUGACUUUUUCUCUCUACCGGAAACAACAACAACACCUUGAAAUUUCCCAUUUUUGAGAUAGUUUUCAAUUCGUUCCCCCGCAACGACCAAAUAUGAGAAACCGGAAGAAGCACUUCCAACCAUCAUGUCUAAGUAAGGACCUUGGAUAAAUGCAAGGGGGGUUGAACUCUGGCCUCUAACUCCAACAAGGGGGGUUGAACUUUGGCAUCUAACUCCAUCCACCUUUGUGCAUACUCUUUGAAGGAUUCAUCAGUCUUCUUAGUUAAGAUUUGAAGUUGGGUCCUAUUAGGAGCCAUAUUAGUGUUGUAUUAAUAGUGUUUAAGAAACGCCUUUGCCAGCUCUCUCCAUGUUCUGAUUAAGUGCGCUUGAGUUGUAUGUACCAUUCAAGAGACACCCCACUAAGGCUAUCUUGAAAUAAAUGCAUCAAUAACUUAUCAUCUUCGAAGUAGGCAUCCAUCUUCCUACAGUAAGAUCUAAUUUGAAUUCUGAGACAGCUAACUCCCUUAUAUUUCUCAAAGUCAAGGACCUUAAACUUCGCAGAAAUUUUAACACCCGGAACUAGACACAUGUCAACAACAUCUAACCCAAAGGCACUGGAAACUUCAAUGGCCUUCAUCUUCCCUUCCAAGACACACAAUUUUUUCUCCACCUCAACAGUUGAUGGUUUGAAGGCGUCGCACACUGAAUCAGCCUUUGGUAUGAAGAAAGCAUUAUGAUGAUUGUCUACUUCAAGUUAACCUCCCCCAUUUACAGGAAUGUUGAAUGUGGGACUAACAUUCUGAUUUCUAGGACCUCCCUCGGGAGGUGGAUGGGCAACAACUGGUGGAUUCACUAGAGGUGUCACAAGAGGAUUUGCAGCAGAAGCCCUCAAAUUGGCCUGCCUUAACUCUUCUUGGCCUCUAGCCAUAUCAUGAAUGGUCUCCAUAGGCUUACCCAUCCGGGUCCUCAUGGUGAGUAUGUCUUCUCUCAUCACAAAAUCCUUUGAUUGUUACGAGUUAGUAUUAUAGGCAGGGUCUUCACACCAAUCCAUAAAGAUAACUACGUCCAACAAGUCAAUACAAUGCAACCACCAUUCUAUCUUAGGUGUUAUCUCUAAGCCUGGGUAAAGGGCUUAUCACUCAAUAAUAUCCCAUCCCACAAUAGAGAAUACAACAAAUAUAUCCAAAAUAGCAAUAGAUACAAUAAGUGAAAGCAAGAAAAAUAAAGAUAAACACCCAAAGCACAAAAAAGAAAAUGGACAAAAUUGGGUUUGACUCGCUUAGCAAUCCCCAAGAAAGUUUCCAGAUGUCGCGCCGCGAAAGUACAGAGUUGCCACCGAACUUUAGUUAUUCCAAAGGAAUGAGAAAAUAUCGAUAAAAUUCCUAAAAUAUGGUCGUCACAACCAAGAGCGAAUUUGAGAGUCGAUUAUGCAAGGGGAAGGUAUUAGAACCCCUCACGUCCGUUGUACUUAAUAGGAACUAUUUUGUUUGUUUUAUAUGUGAAUUGGUGUUAUAUCUAAAGAUUACUUGUGAUUGCUCAAAAGGAGGAAAAAUAAGUUUAUAAUUAGGGUGCUCGUUGAGGAUUCGGACCCUCAUGCCCACGCAUCCUCAUAGUGCAAUAAGGAAUAUAUACCUCCGUAUUUCAUGGUAGAAAAUACGGAUGCGUUAGUUGUUUUUAGUGGACGGUGUUAACGUUCGCGUUCCAGCAGUUAAUUGUAUGCUUGCGUAUGAGAGACUUAAAUGUUUGUUUGUUUGUGGUAGAAUGGAUGCGCUUAGAUCAUAUUCUAACAGUUAAACGUUACUUGUAUGCUCGCGCAUGGGAGGCUUAAGCAUCAUUUGUAUUACGGUAGAAUGGAAAUAACAUGUCCUUUGUGAAAAGGUUUUUGGAUGCCCUGAGGCGGGAAAUUGGAUUUGAUGGGUUGUGAUUGAUUUUAGAGUCAGAGACAAGUAUCAAACCACAAGCUAAGUACGGUUGGCCAUCCGAGUACUCGAGAGCUGAAAGAACAAUUGUAUCAUGACCUCUCUUUUUCAUCAAAAGGCUUUUUGUUUAUGAAAUUUGUGAGGCAAGUUUAAUCAUUGGUACUUAGAAGGAGACAAGCAUCUAACCACAGGUUAAGUACGACUAACAAUCAGAGUACUUGGGAGCUGAAAUAACUAUUCAUCCUAACCUCUCUUUUUUCCCUAAGAGGACCGAAUUAAACUUGUUUAUUCUUAAGUGUUUUGAAUGAAAGACAAGUAUUGGGCAAUAAGCUAAGCACGACCGACAACCAAAGUACUUGAUAAAUGGCAUGUUCAAGUAUGUACACCCCAUCCUUUUUCAUCCAGUUUGUUGUAAAAAUGUUAUGAAAAUGACUUGACGUCGGAUCAAGUGUUUGAUGUUGAAUUUGAAAAUUGUGUGAAUGAAAUGGAAGAGAUACUUGAUGUUGUAUCAAGCACUCGCGUUGCAUUUAAUUAAGUUUGAUUUGGAAAAACACUUGACGUUGGAUCAAGUUUAUUUUUGUUCUUUUGGAAAAGGUUCUUUUUAGAUUGCUUUUGAUUAUUUCUUGGUUACUGAGUGAGGAAAGCGAUAAAAUGGAAAGCAAAUUUUUUUUACAUGUUCAUGGAAGUGGGACACAUUUUAGCCAAAUGGGGAAUAAUCACACACCAUACAAAAUUAAACCACAAGCAUAUAAGAAUCAUUCAAGAGACCAAAACAAUUCAAGCAAUAAAUCCAUAACCAAUGAUUCAUGCAUGAAAUCAAGAGUAAAGGAAAAUGACAUAAAUUCUAAUGAAUUCUAAUUAAAAAUUAAUCCCUAAGACUAAUCAUGAAUAAUUUCUAAUUAAAGUCUAACAUGUGUAUGUGCUUCCAAAAUUCUAAUUGAAAAAUCAAAUCUAAAAAUAAUCUUGAUCAAUUGUUAACAUGUAUGACUUUUAUGAAGAAGUGGAUUAAUGAACUAAGCACUAGUUAACCUAAUUAAUCCCUAAGUUCUAACCAUUAAUCUUCAAAGUACUUUCAUGAUGAAGUGUAUUAAAGGUUAUUCAAGUAAAAAAAACUUAGAAAAAAUGCAUUAAAAGAGUUAACUAAAAAGAUAUGAAAAAGGAUUAAAAAAGAAAUAAGGAAAUGGAGGGCUUCGGUUCCUUUCCCUCUAAUAUACAUUGCAGUGUUUUUUUGGAAGCAAAUCAAAGGAUAUGUGGUGGAAAGCUUACCGAACGAAGUAUCUCCGGCGGCUCUUCAAAAUUGGCGUUGGUGGAUAAAGUUCAGAACCCUUUUCCUUCUUGUUCAGGUAAGUGUAUCUCCUUUCUCUGAACUUGAUGCUUGUUUCCUCUUCUUCCCCUUCUUUGAGUUUGUUGUUUGAAUGCAUGCUAGAGUAGAGUAUGAAUUUGAGUUAGUGAGUUGAAUUGAAUGUUGAAUGAAUGAUGUUAGUUAGAGUUGUUAGU
rnacentral:lncRNA from 1 species